UAUUGGGCGUAGAGCUCGUAGGCGGUUUGUCGCGUCUGCCGUGAAAGUCCGGGGCUCAACUCCGGAUCUGCGGUGGGUACGGGCAGACUAGAGUGAUGUAGGGGAGACUGGAAUUCCUGGUGUAGCGGUGAAAUGCGCAGAUAUCAGGAGGAACACCGAUGGCGAAGGCAGGUCUCUGGGCAUUAACUGACGCUGAGGAGCGAAAGCAUGGGGAGCGAACAGGAUUAGAUACCCUGGUAGUCCAUGCCGUAAACGUUGGGCACUAGGUGUGGGGGACAUUCCACGUUUUCCGCGCCGUAGCUAACGCAUUAAGUGCCCCGCCUGGGGAGUACGGCCGCAAGGCUAAAACUCAAAGGAAUUGACGGGGGCCCGCACAAGCGGCGGAGCAUGCGGAUUAAUUCGAUGCAACGCGAAGAACCUUACCAAGGCUUGACAUGAACCGGAAACACCUGGAGACAGGUGCCCCGCUUGCGGUCGGUUUACAGGUGGUGCAUGGUUGUCGUCAGCUCGUGUCGUGAGAUGUUGGGUUAAGUCCCGCAACGAGCGCAACCCUCGUUCUAUGUUGCCAGCACGUGAUGGUGGGGACUCAUAGGAGACUGCCGGGGUCAACUCGGAGGAAGGUGGGGACGACGUCAAAUCAUCAUGCCCCUUAUGUCUUGGGCUUCACGCAUGCUACAAUGGCCGGUACAAAGGGUUGCGAUACUGUGAGGUGGAGCUAAUCCCAAAAAGCCGGUCUCAGUUCGGAUUGGGGUCUGCAACUCGACCCCAUGAAGUCGGAGUCGCUAGUAAUCGCAGAUCAGCAACGCUGCGGUGAAUACGUUCCCGGGCCUUGUACACACCGCCCGUCAAGUCACGAAAGUUGGUAACACCCGAAGCCGGUGGCCUAACCCCUUGUGGGAGGGAGCUGUCGAAGUGGGACUGGCGAUUGGGAC
rnacentral:rRNA from 1 species